rnacentral:lncRNA from 1 species
CCAUAUUUCGUUCAAGAUGGUUGGGGAAAAUUCGUGCUUAAUUGCUCUCGAUCGCCGUGUAGUCGAGAAUCAUUCUUAUUCUUGCUAGGUGUCCCCCUCCCCCCCGGAAUGUGGUACAAUUCCUGAUACGGUACCUUUCUUUAUUCUAGCAUAAAAGUGUUUGUGAGGAAUACACUUGAGCGCACAUUGUAAAAGAGUUAUAAACUUUUCUUUAUUUUGGUUCUUGUUUCUCAAGGGAUUAGGUGCGCCUGAGAAGUUAACUUUCAAUUGUCCACCGUUGGUGAAAUUUUGGGAAGGUAUAGAGACACAGUAAAAUGGAGUCUUAUUGUAUAAGUCCUUGUAUAUCUUAACUUCAUAUAGUGGAUAGGUUUCCCUGGGCGAAGCCGCCCAUAUGUAGGUGUUUUAUCACCGAAUUGAGUUAUUUUUCUUGGUGUGCUAUUAAUUUACUAUUUUUUGAUACAUUAUGUGAUAUUGCAUCAGCAGACGUACCUGUUGUUACACAUCUCAUCACAUAUUCUAUGGAUUAGUCAUUCUUUUAGGGGUUAUGGCAAAAAAAAAUACACGAACUUUGAAUAAAAUUGCAAUUUCCACUUGAACUUUCAAUUAAGCCAAAAAAUACACGAAUUUGUAUUUUUGUUGCAAUUUUCACAUAAAUUUGACUUUCAACGGAAAUAGAGUUUAGUUCGCAGUUGAAAUUAAGUCAAAUAUAUUAUUUUUUGUCUUCUUAGACCUCCGAACUUCUAAAUCUCCCAUCAUCAGAAGUUAGACUAACAUCGGUGAACUUCUGACUCCAACUAAGCUUGAUGAGGAGUAAAAUAUGCACAAGCGUUGUUCAUAACAUGGCUGGAAUAUUUCUAUUUAUUAUUAUUAUUAUUAUUAUUAUUAUUAUUAUUAUUAUUAUUAUUAUUAUUAUUAUUACUAUUAUGGUUAUUUCUGAUAUUUGGUGCAGCUCUGACUUGACAGGGCUGACUUUCAAUCGGGAGAUAUUGUGGCAGCCUUAACCCGCUCUCAGCUUGGCAAGCUUAGCUCUGCCUCCCGGCUAUGUCGCGCCAGCUCUGGCAGCUCAAUUACAAGACGGAGAUCAGAAUAAGAAUUGGGUCUACUUGAGUUAAUGGGCCAUGUGCUAGCUAAUGGGCCUAAGGGCCUUAGGUUUACUCUAGUGCCUAUAAAUAUGAGUUUUAUCACUAGAUUAGGGGACUUUUGGAUUCAUUCACCUAUCAUUGUAAAAUGUAAACACACAAGUCAUAGUGAAAAAUUCUGAAGACCCACUCGUG